rnacentral:misc_RNA from 1 species
GAUGAAGAACGUAGCGAAAUGCGAUAAGUAAUGUGAAUUGCAGAAUUCAGUGAAUCAUCGAAUCUUUGAACGCACAUUGCGCCCGCCAGUAUUCUGGCGGGCAUGCCUGUUCGAGCGUCAUUUCAACCCUCAAGCACAGCUUGGUGUUGGGACUCGCGUUAAUUCGCGUUCCUCAAAUUGAUUGGCGGUCACGUCGAGCUUCCAUAGCGUAGUAGUAAAACCCUCGUUACUGGUAAUCGUCGCGGCCACGCCGUUAAACCCCAACUUCUGAAUGUUGACCUCGGAUCAGGUAGGAAUACCCGCUGAACUUAAGCAUAUAAUAAGCGGAGGA